UACAGAGGUCCCGAGCGUUGUUCGGAUUCACUGGGCGUAAAGGGUGCGUAGGCGGUCGGGUAAGUCUGAUGUGAAAUCUCACAGCUUAACUGUGAAACUGCAUUGGAUACUAUUCGGCUUGAGGUCUGGAGGGGGGACUGGAAUUCUCGGUGUAGCAGUGAAAUGCGUAGAUAUCGAGAGGAACACCUGUGGCGAAAGCGGCUCACUGGACCACAACUGACGCUGAGGCGCGAAAGCUAGGGGAGCAAACAGG
rnacentral:rRNA from 1 species